UACGGGGGGGGCAAGCGUUGUUCGGAAUUACUGGGCGUAAAGGCUCGUAGGCGGCCAACUAAGUCGGACGUGAAAUCCCCAGGCUCAACCUGGGAACUGCGUCUGAUACUGGAUGGCUUGAAUCCGGGAGAGGGAUGCAGAAUUCCAGGUGUAGCGGUGAAAUGCGCAGAUAUCAGGAGGAACACCGAUGGCGAAGGCAGGUCUCUGGGCCACUACUGACGCUGAGAAGCGAAAGCAUGGGGAGCGAACAGG
rnacentral:rRNA from 1 species